rnacentral:rRNA from 1 species
GAUGAACGCUAGCUACAGGCUUAACACAUGCAAGUCGAGGGGUAACGAGAGGAAAGCUUGCUUUCCUUGUCGACGACCGGCGCACGGGUGAGUAACGCGUAUCCAACCUGCCCCCAACUAGGGAAUAACCUUGCGAAAGUAAGACUAAUACCCUAUAAUUUCCUCAGAUGUCAUCUGACGAGGAAUAAAGAUUUAUCGGUUGUGGAUGGGGAUGCGUCUGAUUAGCUUGUUGGCGGGGUAACGGCCCACCAAGGCAACGAUCAGUAGGGGUUCUGAGAGGAAGGUCCCCCACAUUGGAACUGAGACACGGUCCAAACUCCUACGGGAGGCGGCAGUGAGGAAUAUUGGACAAUGGGCGGAAGCCUGAACCAGCCAAGUAGCGUGCAGGAUGACGGCCCUAUGGGUUGUAAACUGCUUUUAUACAGGAAUAAAGUUAGCCACGUGUGGUUAUUUGUAGGUACUGUAUGAAUAAGGACCGGCUAAUUCCGUGCCAGCAGCCGCGGUAA